rnacentral:rRNA from 1 species
UACGGGGGGAGCAAGCGUUGUUCGGAUUUACUGGGCGUAAAGAGCUCGUAGGCGGUCUGUCGCGUCGAUCGUGAAAACUUGGGGCUUAACCCUGAGCUUGCGGUCGAUACGGGCAUGACUGGAGUUCGGCAGGGGAGACUGGAAUUCCUGGUGUAGCGGUGAAAUGCGCAGAUAUCAGGAGGAACACCGGUGGCGAAGGCGGGUCUCUGGGCCGGUACUGACGCUGAGGAGCGAAAGCGUGGGGAGCAAACAGG